UCCUGCAAAAGCUUUUUUCUUAAUAUCACGCGUGUUGGUACUAGAUAAAACCGGAAACUCCAACAAUUUCUUUGUUCUCAACGCCCCUUAAUUUACAGGAAUUAAUCACUUCAACAGUCUUCGAUGGUUAUACGGGUAUCCACAGUACGAACGAGAUGGAUGUUUGUUAUCCCAACCAUUCUUCUUAGUCCCGAUCCCGCUAAGGAAAGGGGGCAGCUUAUAACAAAGUUUUCGUGUUGCUGAUUCCUAGACGUAGCGCCUCUUCCCCUAUGCCGCCUAUUGGUACUGGUGUAGUAGGGUUGACUUGCAAUACAGAACCCAUAGGUGUAACCUUUCGCUCAAUACUAGAAUCGACAAUUGAAGCAUCUGAGGCUGCAUUAAUCGGGGAUACACGACAGAAGGAAUGGUUUUAUCUAUAAACUUCACCUUCAACAAGCGUAGAUUUUUUCAAUAAUCUUUUUUUUUUUUUUUUCUAUCCCGAAUUGUCUUUCUUUCUUCUAAGACCGAAAGGGGUAAAUAAAAAACUAAUCAAAUCGCACCAUCUCUGUAAUAGGUAAAUGCCUCUUUUUCUCCUACAGUUGUCGGAAUUAUUCGUAAUAAUAUAUUGGCUACAAUCGAAAAGGUCUUAUCAAUAAAAUUUCCGUUUAUCCGCGAUCUAGGCAUAGGUAAAAAUCCAUUCUAUAAUUCGUUUCAUUACCUCUUGUGAGAAAAUGAUCCCACAAACAAAGGAAUUGUACAGUACAAAAUAACAUAAAAGCAGACGUGUUAAAAAAAAUAAAAAAAAAAAUAGACCGAUCCGUUGAUUCGUUCCAACUCAUUGAUUAAAUCAGGUAGAAAUAUCAGAAAAAAAAAAAAAAAGGAGCGCCAUCUUUGCAAACAAGAUAUAUAGCCUUAUUGUUUUUUGUUUUGAACAGUUUUUCACAAACAAAAAAGUUAUCCUUUUCCCCAGACUCAAAGGAAGAAUUUUUUCUUUGCUGAAAGGGUUUCUAUUUUUCUAGUUAGAACGGAUUCGAUUGUCCGUACCCAUCUACCAAUCGAAUUUGAACAACUCGCUAUUCACGCGGGUUCUCGGUCAUAAUCAUUGUGUAGGAGAGAUGGCCGAGUGGUUCAAGGCGUAGCAUUGGAACUGCUAUGUAGACUUUUGUUUACCGGGGGUUCGAAUCCCUCUCUUUCCGUACCUUGAACUAAUUCAUCAAUGUUACUGACCGGAAUGUAUCCAAGCAAAAAAAGAAUGAAUACCGAAGCAGUCAGACCUUUUUUUGAGCUAGAUUCUCAAUUCCUACGGGAAAGAAAGGUAAGGAGUUUGAUCCGUGGAGUUUUUUUUUUAUCCCAUUCAUGUAUCAUAGAUCCGAGGGUAGAUUUUUUAUCCCUGCCUGCCCCUUCCCUUUCUUUCCCGUAGGAAUUGAGAAUCUAGCUCAAAAAAAGGUCUGACUGCUUCGGUAUUCAUUCUUUUUUGCUUGGAUACAUUCCGGUCAGUAACAUUGAUGAAUUAGUUCAAGGUACGGAAAGAGAGGGAUUCGAACCCCCGGUAAACAAAAGUCUACAUAGCAGUUCCAAUGCUACGCCUUGAACCACUCGGCCAUCUCUCCUACACAAUGAUUAUGACCGAGAACCCGCGUGAAUAGCGAGUUGUUCAAAUUCGAUUGGUAGAUGGGUACGGACAAUCGAAUCCGUUCUAACUAGAAAAAUAGAAACCCUUUCAGCAAAGAAAAAAUUCUUCCUUUGAGUCUGGGGAAAAGGAUAACUUUUUUGUUUGUGAAAAACUGUUCAAAACAAAAAACAAUAAGGCUAUAUAUCUUGUUUGCAAAGAUGGCGCUCCUUUUUUUUUUUUUUUCUGAUAUUUCUACCUGAUUUAAUCAAUGAGUUGGAACGAAUCAACGGAUCGGUCUAUUUUUUUUUUUAUUUUUUUUAACACGUCUGCUUUUAUGUUAUUUUGUACUGUACAAUUCCUUUGUUUGUGGGAUCAUUUUCUCACAAGAGGUAAUGAAACGAAUUAUAGAAUGGAUUUUUACCUAUGCCUAGAUCGCGGAUAAACGGAAAUUUUAUUGAUAAGACCUUUUCGAUUGUAGCCAAUAUAUUAUUACGAAUAAUUCCGACAACUGUAGGAGAAAAAGAGGCAUUUACCUAUUACAGAGAUGGUGCGAUUUGAUUAGUUUUUUAUUUACCCCUUUCGGUCUUAGAAGAAAGAAAGACAAUUCGGGAUAGAAAAAAAAAAAAAAAAGAUUAUUGAAAAAAUCUACGCUUGUUGAAGGUGAAGUUUAUAGAUAAAACCAUUCCUUCUGUCGUGUAUCCCCGAUUAAUGCAGCCUCAGAUGCUUCAAUUGUCGAUUCUAGUAUUGAGCGAAAGGUUACACCUAUGGGUUCUGUAUUGCAAGUCAACCCUACUACACCAGUACCAAUAGGCGGCAUAGGGGAAGAGGCGCUACGUCUAGGAAUCAGCAACACGAAAACUUUGUUAUAAGCUGCCCCCUUUCCUUAGCGGGAUCGGGACUAAGAAGAAUGGUUGGGAUAACAAACAUCCAUCUCGUUCGUACUGUGGAUACCCGUAUAACCAUCGAAGACUGUUGAAGUGAUUAAUUCCUGUAAAUUAAGGGGCGUUGAGAACAAAGAAAUUGUUGGAGUUUCCGGUUUUAUCUAGUACCAACACGCGUGAUAUUAAGAAAAAAGCUUUUGCAGGAAGGUUGGCUAGAGAUUUCUUGUAAAAACAUUAGCCCCACUUAGUUCAUAAUGAGAAUAUUUCAAUCUUUUUUGAUUUCAUGGAUUAUUCUCAUAAUGCACAUAAAGGAGGAGCCGUAUGAGAUUUUCAUCUCAUGUACGGUUUUGAAACGGAGAAUUCUUUGAAUCGAAUGACGACCGUAACGGAUGUCAGCUCAAUCUGAAGGCAAUUAUGCGGAAGCUUUACAGAAUUAUUAUGAAGCUAUGCGACUAGAAAUUGAUCCUUACGAUCGAAGCUAUAUACUCUAUAACAUAGGCCUUAUCCACACAAGUAACGGAGAACAUACAAAAGCUUUAGAAUAUUAUUUUCGGGCACUAGAACGAAAUCCGUUCUUACCACAAGCUUUUAAUAAUAUGGCUGUGAUCUGUCAUUACGUGCGACUAUCUCUACUAUAGAAAGAAAAAAGUAAAAGAAAAAAAAAAAAGGAGGGGGGGUAAAGAGCAAAUACACUAAUAAAUACUCGAAAAAAAAAAAAUAGGCUUUCUACAUAUGCAUCGUGCAAAAACGAUUUUUAUCAGCUGUAGCAAAGAAAGAAACUUCAUAGAAGUCGAAAUAUGAAGAAAUCGAUAUGCCUAGAUAGUUUAUUCUAUGGAUAAAGGAUCUAAUUGAUAGAGGAAGCACCGUAAAGAUCAAUUCGCGAGGUUUUGGGCCGAUGCCGAUCCAAUAAGAACUGCUUAUUUAUGUCAUGAUAUGAGAUAAAAGUAAGGAAUCCACUUAUGUAAUAAAGUCGAUCCCCUAAGGUAUUGAGCAGCGGUGUAGCAUCAGAUCCCAAAGACAGUAAGCCUUUUCUUUCUUAGGAAGAAAGGGCUUUUUCAAAGAUUCUAUAUCAAUUUUUAUAUGAAACCGAGAUAGAUACCUUUCAGAAAAUUCUAACUAUAGUGGAAAUGCUUCUAUGUUAU
rnacentral:lncRNA from 1 species